CCUACGGGAGGCAGCAGUAGGGAAUCUUCCACAAUGGGCGAAAGCCUGAUGGAGCAACGCCGCGUGGGUGAAGAAGGUCUUCGGAUCGUAAAACCCUGUUGUUAGAGAAGCAAGUGCGUGAGAGUAACUGUUCACGUUUCGACGGUAUCUAACCAGAAAGCCACGGCUAACUACGUGCCAGCAGCCGCGGUAAUACGUAGGUGGCAAGCGUUAUCCGGAUUUAUUGGGCGUAAAGGGAACGCGGGCGGUCUUUUAAGUCUGAUGUGAAAGCCUUCGGCUUAACCGGGGUAGUGCAUUGGAAACUGGGAGACGUGAGUGCAGAAGAGGAGAGUGGAACUCCAUGUGUAGCGGUGAAAUGCGUAGAUAUAUGGAAGAACACCAGUGGCGAAAGCGGCUCUCUGGUCUGUAACUGACGCUGAGGUUCGAAAGCGUGGGUAGCAAACAGGAUUAGAUACCCGUGUAGUC
rnacentral:rRNA from 1 species